rnacentral:rRNA from 1 species
GACGAACGCUGGCGGCGUGCUUAACACAUGCAAGUCGAACGGAAAGGCCCUGCUUUUGUGGGGUGCUCGAGUGGCGAACGGGUGAGUAACACGUGAGUAACCUGCCCUUGACUUUGGGAUAACUUCAGGAAACUGGGGCUAAUACCGGAUAGGAGCUCCUGCGGCAUGGUGGGGGUUGGAAAGUUUCGGCGGUUGGGGAUGGACUCGCGGCUUAUCAGCUUGUUGGUGGGGUAGUGGCUUACCAAGGCUUUGACGGGUAGCCGGCCUGAGAGGGUGACCGGCCACAUUGGGACUGAGAUACGGCCCAGACUCCUACGGGAGGCAGCAGUGGGGAAUAUUGCACAAUGGGCGGAAGCCUGAUGCAGCAACGCCGCGUGCGGGAUGACGGCCUUCGGGUUGUAACCCGCUUUCGCCUGUGACGAAGCGUGAGUGACGGUAAUGGGUAAAGAAGCACCGGCUAACUACGUG